UGGGGAAUUUUGGACAAUGGGCGAAAGCCUGAUCCAGCAAUGCCGCGUGUGUGAAGAAGGCCUUCGGGUUGUAAAGCACUUUUGUCCGGAAAGAAAUCCUCUGGGUUAAUACCUCGGGGGGAUGACGGUACCGGAAGAAUAAGCACCGGCUAACUACGUGCCAGCAGCCGCGGUAAUACGUAGGGUGCAAGCGUUAAUCGGAAUUACUGGGCGUAAAGCGUGCGCAGGCGGUUUUGUAAGACGGAUGUGAAAUCCCCGGGCUUAACCUGGGAACUGCAUUCGUGACUGCAAGGCUAGAGUAUGGCAGAGGGGGGUAGAAUUCCACGUGUAGCAGUGAAAUGCGUAGAGAUGUGGAGGAAUACCGAUGGCGAAGGCAGCCCCCUGGGCCAAUACUGACGCUCAUGCACGAAAGCGUGGGGAGCAAACAGGAUUAGAUACCCUGGUAGUCCACGCCCUAAACGAUGUCAACUAGUUGUUGGGGAUUCAUUUCCUUAGUAACGUAGCUAACGCGUGAAGUUGACCGCCUGGGGAGUACAGUCGCAAGAUUAAAACUCAAAGGAAUUGACGGGGUCAUAGCUGUUUCCU
rnacentral:rRNA from 1 species